rnacentral:lncRNA from 1 species
AACAGUGUAUAAUGAAGAGGAUCAUGAUAAUAGCAAAUCCCUGCCAAAACUUCCUACUCCUUGCUUGCCUUAUUCUCUUCAUUUAUAAAGAGACUGAGCUGAUACUUUUCAUUUAUAAAAAGAUAGUAGUGUAAUACGGCACAUACAGAGCAUGUACUCAUCUCUUUAUUUCCUGCAACUGAAACUGCUUACAAGCAGAUACAUUUUGCAAUAAGUGGACAUAUUUAAUGUGUAUUGAAUAGAACAAAAAUUCAAAAAAUAAAAAUCAAACAACCACCAACCAAACCAAACAUAUCAACUCCAAUAGACACAAGAAGAUCAGAAUUGGUCCGAGCACAUUUGUCAGCUGUUCGUGGUUUAAGGGCAGUGGGUGAUAUUUCAGGAAGCAGAAAGAGCUUGGUUGCAGUUGCAGUUCCUCAACAGCACUUUUUUGCAAAGUCAGUGAGUUGUGCAGAGCGACACAAGUCUCCUGCUAUCCUGAUGGAGAGUCCACAGGAAGCAGACACUGCCCUUGCUUGA